UGUUUGAGAGGUUUUCUUAUUGCUUGCAUGGGAAGUUGGUGCUUUGAGCACAAACAACCGUAAACAGAGGGGAAAAGAAGAGAGGAUUUGCGGAAUAACAACAUAAUUAAGCAAACAUAUCCUGGAAACGUGUGGACAGGGGACAAGAGGAGAGGGGAUAUUGGGUAUCCAAUUCAAACUAGCUUUUUAUUGGCUGGUCUGGUGUGGGGAUUGCCCCCUCCUAGAAGGCAUGAAAAAAAGGGCCAGAAGAAUUGGAAAAAGGAUAAUCCAAUUCAGACUAGUUCCUUUGCUUCUUUUCUUUUUAUGCAUAGUUCCUUUUCCCUUGCGUGCUGUCUGUCUUUAGAGCACUGGUGGGCUUUAGAAAAUGUUUGAAGUUAAUAAUAUACCAAUGGUGUAGUCUGUCUUUAAAAGUUAGGAGGUGGAAGUAUUGAUCUCCAACUAGUUCCUGAAAUUGUCUCUUUUUUUUGUGUGUGAGAACUGGUUUGAAGGGGCCUAUGACUGUGUGUAUAGCUGAAAAAGCUCCAUUGCAUGGAUUUCUAUAGGAGGGAUUGAGAGGACCAGGGGAUAAUUGAUGGUGCUGGAUUUUUAAUGAUUAAGAAGGGGUUGGUGUAAUGGUUGUGGAUCUUGGAAUGCAUCAUUGCAUGUGCCUCCAUAUGCCUUCCAAUUCUAGCAGUGGUGGCAGAUUUUUGAAACUUGGGAUAAUGAUGGAGAAUAACACUUAUUGUCAAGAAUUCCAGCCACUUUCUGUUUUUUUUUAAUUUUUCUUUUGUUUUCUUGAAGGGUGGAGACCUGGAACUGCCCUAAACUGUUGGCUUUGAGAAGGGGUGGUAGGGUACUAUAGCUUUGACCCCAAACAAAAGCACAAACUUUUGACCCACAAACUGGUCUCUCUAUUUAAACACAACUUAAAGCUGUAGGGCUUUAUCUUAGCAUGCUGUGGGAUGGUUGAAACUGGUCUUUGCACUUUGUCCAGAAAAGGUUUGAUCUACGUUCCAUUUUUCCAGCCAAAGCCUUUCAUAAGCAAGAAAAGUCUCACUCCUUGUAGCCCCAGCUGAAGGAAACAAGUAGUGCCAAUUCACUG
rnacentral:lncRNA from 1 species